AGUGAACGCUGGCGGUAGGCCUAACACAUGCAAGUCGAACGGCAGCACAGGAGAGCUUGCUCUCUGGGUGGCGAGUGGCGGACGGGUGAGGAAUACAUCGGAAUCUACUCUGUCGUGGGGGAUAACGUAGGGAAACUUACGCUAAUACCGCAUACGACCUACGGGUGAAAGCAGGGGACCUUCGGGCCUUGCGCGAUUGAAUGAGCCGAUGUCGGAUUAGCUAGUUGGCGGGGUAAAGGCCCACCAAGGCGACGAUCCGUAGCUGGUCUGAGAGGAUGAUCAGCCACACUGGAACUGAGACACGGUCCGGACUCCUACGGGAGGCAGCAGUGGGGAAUAUUGGACAAUGGGCGCAAGCCUGAUCCAGCCAUACCGCGUGGGUGAAGAAGGCCUUCGGGUUGUAAAGCCCUUUUGUUGGGAAAGAAAUCCAGCUGGCUAAUACCCGGUUGGGAUGACGGUACCCAAAGAAUAAGCACCGGCUAACUUUGUGCCAGCCGCCGCGGUAA
rnacentral:rRNA from 1 species